AAAUCCCCUUUGUGGCCCAUCACAUACCUAAUUCUUGCUACUCAUUCCAUCUUUCACCAUCGAAGUUGACCCAUGAAACCAAUGUUCAUGGUCCUCAAGCAUGGCGUCUGUAGAAUCAUUCGUCUUCAUCAAGCACGACGACCAAGCACGAUUCAUCUUCCUCAAGCACUAUUUUUCUUCCCAAGCA